rnacentral:rRNA from 1 species
AGCGAACGUUAGCGGCACGCCUAACACAUGCAAGUCGCACGAGAAAGGGAGCAAUCCUGAGUAGAGUGGCGCACGGGUGCGUAACACGUAGAUAACCUGCCCUUUGGAGGGGGAUAACGUUCCGAAAGGAGCGCUAAUACCGCAUACAGCAAGAGCCGGUUUGCCGGUUUUUGGCAAAGGUAGGGACCCGCAAGGGCCUACCGCCAGAGGAGGGGUCUGCGGCCCAUCAGCUAGUUGGUGAGGUAAUGGCUCACCAAGGCAGAGACGGGUAGCUGGUCUGAGGGGAUGAUCAGCCACACUGGUACUGGAACACGGACCAGACUCCGUACGGGGGCAGCAGUGGGGAAUCUUGGUCAAUGGGCGCAAGCCUGAACCAGCGAUGCCGCGUGAGUGAUGAAGGCC